GACUGGUCUGAAGGCACUGAGUUAUCUCAAUUGUGCACAGUCAGUUACAGAUGGAACUCCUUGUUCUACUCUUUCCCUGCUUCUUACUACUGCACUUGACUAGUCUUAA
ensembl:misc_RNA Y_RNA Y RNA